rnacentral:rRNA from 1 species
CAUGAACGCUAGCGGGAGGCCUAACACAUGCAAGCCGAGCGGUAUUGUUUCUUCGGAAAUGAGAGAGCGGCGUACGGGUGCGGAACACGUGUGCAACCUGCCUUUAUCUGGGGGAUAGCCUUUCGAAAGGAAGAUUAGUACUCCAUAAUAUAUUGAACGGCAUCGUUUAAUAUUGAAAGCUCCGGCGGAUAGAGAUGGGCACGCGCAAGAUUAGCUAGUGGGUGAGGUAACGGCUCACCAAGGCGAUGAUCGUUAGGGGGCCUGAGAGGGUGAUCCCCCACACUGGUACUGAGACACGGACCAGACUCCUACGGGAGGCAGCAGUGAGGAAUAUUGGUCAAUGGGUGCAAGCCUGAACCAGCCAUCCCGCGUGAAGGACGACUGCCCUAUGGGUUGUAAACUUCUUUUGUAUAGGGAUAAACCUACCCUCGUGAGGGUAGCUGAAGGUACUAUACGAAUAAGCACCGGCUAACUCCGUGCCAGCCGCCGCCGUAAAAC